GUCACCACGAGCGCGAGAAGUCGAAGGUAGGAGCAGAAAGCGGUGUUAGUGUUAGUUCUGGCCCGUUUGGACCCAAACUAAAGUGUAUCAGUAUGAAGCAGGCGGUGACGGCGCACUGAUUCACUCUCGGAGCUCGGUUCACUAAUGACCGAAUCACCGAGGAACCGACCAAAGAUAACUCACACCCGCACGGAGAAGAAGAACAAGAGGAGGAGAAGAUGAGCUGGAGUGGGGCAAAGAGAACUGCAUUCAGAUCAAACGGAUACAAGAGAGGUGGCCGAGUUGUUUGAGGAUCUAAAGAAUUGAGUGUCACAAUUCAACAUGCACAUCAGCGAAACUUUUCCCUCUGACUACACCAGCACGCACGCACAGAAAUUCAUAGUGCAGGUGGCGAUUGCAGGCGCAUUUUAUCCGAACUGCUUCCUCCAGGGAACUGUGGACGAGGAGCUCGCCUCCAAGGAACUCUAUGGAAACGACCCCAGGACCACCGUAGUGUGUGUAAUCUCCCUCCAUUUGCAUUCCUCUACUAUAAACAGCUCCAGUCUCUCUUCAGACACUGUGGUUAAAUCAAAUCCAUCUCCUUUGACAGCUCCAGGGCCUAUGUAGAGUUCUACCGCUCGUCAAUGAGAGGUUCUGGCGUUCUCCCAGAGGUCUCUCUGUCUCUCCUCCUCACGCAGCAGAGACUUCCUCUCCAUCUCAACGUUUAACCCACUGGAGAGGUGGAGACUUGGGCAGGGGGGUAGUGUAUCUCACACCUCAGAUAUACACGGGUGAAUGUGGAUUUUCAGAAUCAGUCAGUGAGCCCUGUCGGGGUUCUGAGCAGCUCCGUUGAGUUGGAGAAUCUUCCGUCUAACCCUGUCUUUAUCGUCAAUAUCACCGAGGUGUCUGUUCCGCCUCUUUCACUUUCAGUGCACAAAUAAAAAAGAAGCAGUGGCUCCUGUGUGUGUGUGUGUGUGUGUGUGUGUGUGUGUGUGUGCGCACUAACAGGAGGUCCAGGUGCAGCCUUUGGAUAUUGAUGAAGAUUUACUGCCCCUGCAAGACCUUCCUCGACUGCGUAGUCUGGAGCAAAGGAUGCAACAGAGCCCAGAUUACAAGCAAAAUCUGGUAAACUGGUUGGCGCUUAUUGACGGGGUGUAUGUGCGUGACUGCACCUGGCGCAUAUUGAAGAGGGUGAUUGCUAACUCCCUGGCAAAGAAUCUCAAUUGGAGGGGAGUCGAUGGAAAGACUUCACUGUCCGCUCUCCAACUCGGAGAGGUCGUGAUUGCGUGUCGGCCUUGGAGAUGAGAAUCACGCCAACUCGGAACGAUCCCCUCUCUUUGUGCAGUUCAUCGACUGUGUGUGGCAGAUGAUGAGACAGGUGAAACCCAGGGCUCAAACCAAGAGAAGACAUUCAGAGCUAUUCAUUCUUUAAAGUCCAUUUAACAAGUUUCCUUCUGCUUCUGAGUUCAAAGAGCUUUUUCUCAUCCCCAUCCUGGAUCGCCCCUACAGCUGCCUGUUUGGUACAUUCCUCUACAGCAGUGAGCAGGAGAGAAUGGAAAAGGAAGUACAGGGUAAAACGGUCACUGUGGUCCUACGUUAACAGUCAGCCGGAGGACUUCACUAACCCGUUCUAUGUGGACUGUAAAAACCAGGUGCUGUAUCCACUGGCCAGUCUCGCACAUCUGGAGCUCUGGGUGGGUUAUUAUGUGCGCUGGAACCCACGCAUGAGACCACAGAUGCCGCUCCAUCAGAAUCUGAGAGAGUUAUUGUUUUUGCGUGAAGAACGUGGAGGAGCUCCAGAGAGAGGCCACGUCAUCCUGCUCCAUCUCCUCAUCCUCAGAGCAUACUUCUCCCUCCUCACAUAGUGCACACUUCCUUCCAUCCUACACAGGGUUGUGGGGAGCCUGGAGUCUAUCCCAGGGAACUCGGGGCACAAGGCAGGGGACACCCUGGACAGGGUGCCAACCCAUCACAGGGCACAAUCACUCGUGCACACACACACUGGACAAUUUUGGAGAUGCCAGUCCACCUACAACGGAUGUCUUUGGACUGGGGGAGGAAACCCCUGAAGCACAUUUGCAGGGACAUCGAGGAAAUUUAGUGAAACCCAGUCAGUGAUCUUAUUGGAUAAUUAGUCUCUAAUGAUUUGACCUUGUUUGUUACGCUGCUAAAUAUUUUCCAAAGGUAUGGAAGUGAUGUUAAGUCAGCAGACGUAUUGUGUGGGUUUGUGUUCUCUCUCCCUCCCCCUGUUUUUUUCUCACAGGUCGCUCUGCCCUAAUUCGUUGUGCUGACGUGCUGCAUGGGGAUUGGAGAGGAGAAGACUGUCCCUCUUUUAAAAAGGAGGACGAACAAUAUGUUGGGAGGAAUGCGGAUGUGUGGGGUUCUGUGUCUGCGUGUGUACGACUGAGUAGCGAAUGUUUUUCCUGGUGUUUGAGUGAAAUCGCUUGCUUGUUGUGUGUGUACGAGUGAAAGAAGUGAGUGGAAGUAUAUUGUGUUGUCCCAUUCCCCUGGUUUGUCUUGUGUUGUGGCUGAGUGUACGCCUGAAUUGUAAAUAUAUCUUUCAUUGUAAAUAUUUCUCUUCUUACUGUCAUGAAAGCUGUAGGGGUUGUGAGGCGUUUAUUUUUGGGCUCUACCUUUUGUUCGCUGUUUUUGCCUCAGUGAGGGAGUCAGGUUAGACUCUAUUUUCUUUUGACAUACCUUUUUUGUUAGGUUCGUUAAACUGAUACAGGGAAGAUAUUGACUCUUUUGUUUAUUACAUUGGCCUUGCCAGCCCUGAAGAGUGGUGCUUUCUGAGUGAUUCUGUUUGUUUUGCAUUAUUUUUCUUGUGAUCAUUAAAUUUGUAAGAUUUGAAAGACGUGAGGUAAUGAGAUAAUGAGGUGUUAACCUCAUUAAUUCUCAGUCUGAUUUGUUUUUGUUUAUACUUUUUUUUAUGUUACACCUCGACCCUAUACCGGGGUCGUAACAGUGAGUCAAAAAUAACUUCCA